rnacentral:rRNA from 1 species
GACGAACGCUGGCGGCGUGAUUAACACAUGCAAGUCGAACGAAGUGGCGAACGGGUGAGUAACGCGUAAUCAACCUGCCCUUCCUAGGGGGACCACAGUUUGAAACGAAGGCUAAUACAGCCUACUGUAGGAGGGGAUUGCGUCUGAUUAGCUAGUUGGGUGGGUAACGGCCCACCAGGGCGAUGAUCAGUCGCCGGUCUGAGAGGAUGAACGGCCACAUUGGGACUGAGACACGGCCCAGACUCCUACGGGAGGCAGCAGUGGGGAAUCUUCCGCAAUGGACGAAAGUCUGACGGAGCAACGCCGCGUGAGUGAUGACGGCCUUCGGGUUGUAAAGCUCUGUUAAUCGGGACGCGGUACCGGAAUAGAAAGCCACGGCUAACUACGUGCCAGCAGCCGCGGUAAUAC